UACGGGGGGAGCAAGCGUUGUUCGGAAUCACUGGGCGUAAAGGGAGUCUAGGCGGUUUGGUCAGUGGGGUGUGAAAUCCCCGGGCUCACCCCGGGACCUGCAUCCCAAACUGCUGAGCUUGAGUACAGGAGAGGGUGGGGGAAUUCCAGGUGUAGCGGUGAAAUGCGUAGAUAUCUGGAGGAACACCGGUGGCGAAGGCGCCCACCUGGCCUGCUACUGACGCUGAAGCUCGAAAGCUAGGGGAGCAAACGGG
rnacentral:rRNA from 1 species